GGCUGGUCUGAUGGUAGUGGGUCAUCAGAACUUAUUAACAUUAGUGUCAUUAAAGUUGGUAUACAACCCGCCACUGCUAUAUUUGACUGGUUUUUU
ensembl:Y_RNA Y_RNA Y RNA